rnacentral:rRNA from 1 species
CACCUGGGAGUACGCCGCAACGUUGAAACUCAAAGGAAUUGACGGGGGCCCGCACAAGCGGAGGACAUGUGUUUAUUCGAUGAUACGCGAGGAACCUUACCCGGGCUUGAACUGCAGCAGACGGAUUCAGAGAUGAUGACUCCCUUCGGGCUGCUGUGGAGUGCUGCAUGUUGUCGUCAGCUCGUGCCGUGAGGUGUCGGCUUAAGUGCCAUAACGAGCGCAACCCCUUUCGUUAGUUGCCAUCAGGUAAAGCUGGGCACUCUGGCGAUACUGCCACCGUAAGGUGUGAGGAAGGCGGGGAUGACGUCAAAUCAGCACGGCCCUUACGUCCGGGGCGACACACGUGUUACAAUGGCGGGGUGACAGCGGGAAGCCAGGCGGCGACGCCGAGCGGAUCCCGAAAACCCGUCUCAGUUCGGAUCGGAGUCUGCAACCCGACUCCGUGAAGCUGGAUUCGCUAGUAAUCGCGCAUCAGCCAUGGCGCGGUGAAUACGUUCCCGGGCCUUGUACACACCGCCCGUCAAGCCAUGGAAGCCUGGAGUGCCUGAAGUCCGUGACCGGAAGGAGCGGCCAAGGGUAAGACAGGUGACUGGGGCU